rnacentral:rRNA from 1 species
CUUACCUGGUCUUGACAUCCACAGAACUUGCCAGAGAUGGCUUGGUGCCUUCGGGAACUGUGAGACAGGUGCUGCAUGGCUGUCGUCAGCUCGUGUUGUGAAAUGUUGGGUUAAGUCCCGCAACGAGCGCAACCCUUAUCCUUUGUUGCCAGCGGUCCGGCCGGGAACUCAAAGGAGACUGCCAGUGAUAAACUGGAGGAAGGUGGGGAUGACGUCAAGUCAUCAUGGCCCUUACGACCAGGGCUACACACGUGCUACAAUGGCGCAUACAAAGAGAAGCGACCUCGCGAGAGCAAGCGGACCUCAUAAAGUGCGUCGUAGUCCGGAUUGGAGUCUGCAACUCGACUCCAUGAAGUCGGAAUCGCUAGUAAUCGGAAUUCAGAAUU